rnacentral:rRNA from 1 species
CUUGGUCAAUUAGAGGAAGUAAAAGUCGUAACAAGGUUUCCGUAGGUGAACCUGCGGAAGGAUCAUUAUUGAAUAAACUUGGUCGGGUUGCUGCUGGCCUCUCGGGGCAUGUGCACGCCUGCCGCCAUUUUUAACCACCUGUGCACCCUUUGUAGACCUGGAUACCUCUCGAGGAAACUCGGUUUGAGGACUGCUGCGCGAAAGCCUGGCUUUCCUUGCAUUUCCGGUCUAUGUCUUUAUAUAACCCCAUACGAAUGUAACAGAAUGUCAUUAAUGGCCUUUGCGCCUUUAAAUCAAAUACAACUUUCAACAACGGAUCUCUUGGCUCUCGCAUCGAUGAAGAACGCAGCGAAAUGCGAUAAGUAAUGUGAAUUGCAGAAUUCAGUGAAUCAUCGAAUCUUUGAACGCACCUUGCGCUCCUUGGUAUUCCGAGGAGCAUGCCUGUUUGAGUGUCAUUAAAUUCUCAACCUUUCCAGCUUUUAACGGCGGGACAAGGCUUGGAUGUGGGGGCUGCGGGCUUCUCAGAAGUCGGCUCUCCUUAAAUGUAUUAGCGAAACCUUUGCUGACCAUCUUUGGUGUGAUAAUUAUCUACGCCACUGGGAAGCAGCUUUAACRUGGGGUUUGGCUUCUAAUCGUCCGUCACUGGACAACUUUUGACAUUUGACCUCAAAUCAGG